UAAAGUUGAUAUGUGAAGGAUGUGAAGAGC
rnacentral:piRNA from 1 species